GAUGAACGCUAGCGGCAGGCUUAAUACAUGCAAGUCGUGGGGCAGCAGGUUUGUAGCAAUACAGAUGCUGGCGACCGGCAAACGGGUGCGGAACACGUACAGAACCUUCCUUGAGCGGGGAAUAGCCCAGAGAAAUUUGGAUUAAUACCCCAUAGUAUAAUGAAGUGGCAUCACUUUAUUAUUAAAGAUUUAUCACUCGAAGAUGGCUGUGCGGCUGAUUAGGUAGUUGGCGGGGUAAAGGCCCACCAAGCCUGCGAUCAGUAACUGGUGUGAGAGCACGACCAGUCACACGGGCACUGAGACACGGGCCCGACUCCUACGGGAGGCAGCAGUAAGGAAUAUUGGUCAAUGGAGGCAACUCUGAACCAGCCAUGCCGCGUGGAGGAUGAAGGUCCUCUGGAUUGUAAACUUCUUUUAUAUGGGACGAAAAAAGGCUUUUCUAAGUCGUCUGACGGUACCAUAUGAAUAAGCACCGGCUAACUCCGUGCCAGCAGCCGC
rnacentral:rRNA from 1 species